rnacentral:rRNA from 1 species
GACGAACGCUGGCGGCGUGCUUAACACAUGCAAGUCGAACGGAAAGGCCCUGCUUUUGUGGGGUGCUUGAGUGCCGAACGCGUGUGCAACACGCGUGUAACCUGCCCCUGACUUUGGGAUAACUUCAGGAAACUGGGGCUACUACCCGAUAGGAGCUCCUGCUGCACGGUGGGCCUCGGACAGCUUGGGCGGUUGGGGAUGGACUCGCGGGUUAUCAGCUUGUUGGUGGGGUUGUGGCUUACCAAGGCUUUGACGGGUUGCCGGCCUGCGAGGGUGACCGGCCACAUGGGGACUGAGAUACGAGCGAGACUCAUGCGGGGGGAAGGGGGGGGGGGUAUUAGGGGAUGGGCGGGAGCCUGAGGCAGCAACGCCGGGUGCGGGAUGACGGCUGUCGGGGGAUAAAGCGGGUGGGCCUGUGACGGAGCGUGAGUGACGGUAAUUGGUAAAAAAGCACCGGCUAACUACGUG